UGAAGUUUUGGAUUCCAUAGCACCUUC
rnacentral:piRNA from 1 species